AGAGCUGGCUCAGGACGAACGCUGGCGGCGUGCCUAAUACAUGCAAGUCGAGCGGACAGAUGGGAGCUUGCUCCCUGAUGUUAGCGGCGGACGGGUGAGUAACACGUGGGUAACCUGCCUGUAAGACUGGGAUAACUCCGGGAAACCGGGGCUAAUACCGGAUGCUUGUUUGAACCGCAUGGUUCAAACAUAAAAGGUGGCUUCGGCUACCACUUACAGAUGGACCCGCGGCGCAUUAGCUAGUUGGUGAGGUAACGGCUCACCAAGGCAACGAUGCGUAGCCGACCUGAGAGGGUGAUCGGCCACACUGGGACUGAGACACGGCCCAGACUCCUACGGGAGGCAGCAGUAGGGAAUCUUCCGCAAUGGACGAAAGUCUGACGGAGCAACGCCGCGUGAGUGAUGAAGGUUUUCGGAUCGUAAAGCUCUGUUGUUAGGGAAGAACAAGUACCGUUCGAAUAGGGCGGUACCUUGACGGUACCUAACCAGAAAGCCACGGCUAACUACGUGCCAGCAGCCGCGGUAAUACGUAGGUGCAAGCGUUGUCCGGAAUUAUUGGGCGUAAAGGGCUCGCAGGCGGUUCCUUAAGUCUGAUGUGAAAGCCCCCGGCUCAACCGGGGAGGGUCAUUGGAAACUGGGGAACUUGAGUGCAGAAGAGGAGAGUGGAAUUCCACGUGUAGCGGUGAAAUGCGUAGAGAUGUGGAGGAACACCAGUGCGAAGGCGAC
rnacentral:rRNA from 1 species